rnacentral:rRNA from 1 species
AUUGAACGCUGGCGGCAUGCCUUACACAUGCAAGUCGAACGGCAGCGCGGGGCAACCUGGCGGCGAGUGGCGAACGGGUGAGUAAUAUAUCGGAACGUACCCUGGAGUGGGGGAUAACGUGGCGAAAGUUACGCUAAUACCGCAUACGAUCUAAGGAUGAAAGCAGGGGACCGCAAGGCCUUGUGCUCCUGGAGCGGCCGAUAUCUGAUUAGCUAGUUGGUAGGGUAAAAGCCUACCAAGGCAUCGAUCAGUAGCUGGUCUGAGAGGACGACCAGCCACACUGGAACUGAGACACGGUCCAGACUCCUACGGGAGGCAGCAGUGGGGAAUUUUGGACAAUGGGCGCAAGCCUGAUCCAGUAAUGCCGCGUGAGUGAAGAGGGCCUUCGGGUUGUAAAGCUCUUUUGUCAGGGAAGAAACGGGGAAGGCUAAUAUCUUUCUCUAAUGACGGUACCUGAAGAAUAAGCACCGGCUAACUACGUGCCAGCCGCCGCGGUAACAC